UCAGUUGAGCUCCUUGAUGGAGUCAGGUUGUAGUGGAGAAAAAGUAAAAUAUAAUAAAAUUUUAUAGCUUGCAAAAUUAAAAUCAUUCAAUUAUUCACCCAAAAAAUGCAUAACGCAGUGCUGGGAAGAGGCCUGAGAUGUAUUAAUUCAGUAGGAGAAAGAACAUGGUCUUCAUAGACCUACAUAUUUACCUUCCAUUCUUUCUAAGCAUAAAUCCA
rnacentral:lncRNA from 1 species